rnacentral:tRNA from 2 species
AGCCCGGUCGUCUAGCGGUCAAGGAUUUCAGGCUCUGGACCUGGAGACAGCAGUUCGAAUCUGCUCCGGGCUA